GUCACAGCGCCGCGACUCGGCCUGUCCCAAUUCGAAGACUCCUUCAAAUGCGGUCGACGAAUGCGGCCUUCUUUUCGCCUGAAUGAAGGAUGGGUCGGGUGUAUCCUUCAAUAGGUAGCAUUUCCCAAGAUGCCUUGCGGGCCGGCCGGCAGAAAAACUUAAAAACAAUGGCGGACAGUGAAGCGGGAGCUGUCGGAGAGGAUUGCGCAUAUAAAUGACCAAAAGAGAAAACCAGGGAAUUUAUUAAGCUUAGGGCGGAGAUGGACCACAUGAUCACCGGAGCAAAGUAUUCGGCGGCUGUGGCAUGGAGACUAUUCUGGAGAAAAUGGGCAUCCAGGGGAAGGUGCCAGCGAUGAGCUUCUGGAGCUGAUCAGGGAGGAAUUGAGGCUGCAGAGGGAGGCAGAGCAGCAGAGAGCACAGGAGAGAAGGAAGAACUUUGACAGCUUUUUACUUUGCUAGAAAAAAAUGGUUAAGGAAGAUUAAACAUGUACAUGUAAAAGAAAUAUCUAAAUAAAAUCAGUUCUGCAUUAAA